GAUGAACGCUGGCGGCGUGCUUAACACAUGCAAGUCGAACGGACUUAUACUGAAACCUAGUGAUGUAUAAGUUAGUGGCGGACGGGUGAGUAACGCGUGGGUAACCUGCCGUAUACAGGGGGAUAACACUUAGAAAUAGGUGCUAAUACCGCAUAAGCGCACAGGACCGCAUGGUCGAGUGUGAAAAAGAUUUAUCGGUAUACGAUGGACCCGCGUCUGAUUAGCCAGUUGGCAGGGUAACGGCCUACCAAAGCGACGAUCAGUAGCCGGCCUGAGAGGGUGAACGGCCACAUUGGGACUGAGACACGGCCCAAACUCCUACGGGAGGCAG
rnacentral:rRNA from 1 species